GCGGGCGUAGCUCAGUCGGUUAGAGUGCCGGCCUGUCACGCCGGAGGUCGCNNGAGGUCGCGGGUUCGAGCCCCGUCGCCCGCG
rnacentral:tRNA from 1 species